rnacentral:rRNA from 1 species
GUGAAGCGGCAAAAGCUCAAAUUUGAAACCCUCGGGAUUGUAAUUUGAAGAUUUGGCAUUGGAGAAAGCUAACCCAAGUUGCUUGGAAUAGUACGUCAUAGAGGGUGACAACCCCGUCUGGCUAACCGUUCUCCAUGUAUUGCCUUAUCAAAGAGUCGAGUUGUUUGGGAAUGCAGCUCAAAGUGGGUGGUAAACUCCAUCUAAAGCUAAAUACUGGUGAGAGACCGAUAGCGAACAAGUACUGUGAAGGAAAGGUGAAAAGAACUUUGAAAAGAGAGUGAAAUAGUAUGUGAAAUUGUUGAUAGGGAAGGAAAUGAGUGGAGAGUGGCCGAGGUUUCAGCCGCCCCUCGUGGGCGGUGUACUGCCGACGCCGAGUCAUCGAUAGCGAGACGAGGGUUACAAAUGGGAGCGCCUU